rnacentral:lncRNA from 1 species
ACUAUUGGAAUCAAGUUCUGAAGAAACUAAGUCUGAAGAAGCUCAGUCAGAAAAUUCUCAAGAUAAUGAUUCAGAACAAUCAAGUGAAGCAGAAGCAUACAUGAUAAUGAAAAAACAAAAUUUGUUACUCGAUUUCUUUGAGAAAAUAAUCGAUCUAGAAUUAAGAAAGGAAUAUUUAAUAAAACUCAAAGACUCUAAAUGAAGAUUUGAACCAAAUAAUAAGAAAUCAGUCGCAAUCCA